rnacentral:tRNA from 1 species
GGGUGUAGCUCAGUGGUAGAGUGCAUGUUUAGCAUGCAUGAAGUCCUGGUUCAAUCCCCAGUACCUCCA